UUGAAUAAAUUUGGUCAAGCUGUUGCUGGUCCUUCGGGACAUGUGCACGCUUGCCACCAAUUUUAACCACCUGUGCACCUUUUGUAGACUGAAAAACUGAUUCUCGAGGCAACUCGGAUUGAGAACUGCUGUGCGCGAGCCAGCUGUUCUUGUGUUUCUCAGUCUAUGUUUUUACAUACCCCAAAUGAAUGUAUUAGAAUGUAUUGCUGGGCCUUAGUGCCUUUAAAUCAAAUA
rnacentral:misc_RNA from 1 species